UUAUCUCUAAAACAGCAGAAAUAACAGCAUGAUUUUUGUCUGCAUGACCAAUAAAAAGCGAUUACAGUGUUCAGUCAGAAUGGACCAAGUGGUCAUUUUCAAGGAGACUGCCUUCGGUCAGUUAUUGAUAAAAGCGAACGAACGGAAGAAUUUUCAAGCGUUUUUCCGGAUUUCCUCGUAUCAGAGAACUCUUCCACUCACCCCCCAUCGGAAUCUAUAAAGUUUCACGCACUGCCGUGGUUUUGAAUGUGUUUUUGGAACGUUUAUUGCUGUCACUAACAUGACCUGAUAUCUGCCUUAUAGUGUGCAGACAAAGUGAACCAUGUGUUAAGCUGAAAAAAGUUGAAAUUUUUCGGAAUUUACAGCAUCGGUUUGAAGUCAACAUAAAUGAAUUUCAACACUAUCAGGCAACUUAUCGGAAUGCUUCUUUGCCCGUUAGUCAAAAAAGUAUACUUUACCAGUAAAUGAGGAAAAUUUACAUGGUCCACUCUGAUUGAACACGUAAAUGAGAAACGGUUAUCAUUUGUGUGGGUGACACCAUGAUGUAUAGAACAUGGUGUAACAGUUUGAUCAAAAAGUAGGCGCGCGGCGAGGUAGCUCUUUUUGCGCUGGAGGAAUGGAGACGAAACGUCGCUAAGUGACAGCUAGCUAGUUUUCGAAUAACAACAGUCCAAUCGUUUUCGCUUUCCUUUCAAGUGGAUUGAAUAUUUUCCUCAAAAAGUGAUAUUUUUCUGAGUUUGGGAAUGUGAAACAUGCCGUAAUUUCGUAGGUACAGUAUGAGAUUGCCAUCACAUAUCAAAAGCACUCGUCUGACGUAGCAAAAGCACAUACGGCAUCCAGCUCAAUCGUCAUACCCAAUCACGAGAAACCAGAAGACGAUUUAGUAGCCUCCGCGUAUCAGCGACCAGUACGGCCGGUAUCCAGUUAAUAUGACCCGAGUAGCCAAACACGAGGAACCAAACAAAGAGUCAACUGUCAUCAAGUAUCAAUGGCCAGCAUAAGAACACAUCGUGCUAGUAGUGAUUGAUAAUACUGGUAGUUAGAUCUGCGUCAGAAGGAACCCAGUCAAUCUCAAGCAGAGUUUCGUGGUCGUUUUAGUAAUAAGUUAGUGAACAAAUCCAAGCGUUUUCUAAUAUGAUGUAGAGUGAAUAUUUUCGGAUUUAAAUCGAAUAAAUCUCAGUGUUUAGAAGUCCCUAA